UUGAUCUAAAUAUAUGCUUUUAUAUUUUUGUUAGAUCAAUACAAGUGUUCCGAAGUCAACGAGACGCACAGGUAUCCCGGACUAAAUCAAACAACAUUACUUGGAUCAAAGUGCAGGUACAUUAUUUUUCACAAUUUUGCUUAUAAUAUUUAUGCUACUUGAUAAAACAAGACAACUAUAAAUUCUUAUUUGUUUUCUAUGUAGUGUCCGAUACAGCGGAACAGUUCAGACUGCGGAUACUUUGUUUUGAGGUUUAUGAAAGAAAUCCUUCAAAUGAAUCAAUUAGAGAUUCCAAUCACGUACUUUGACGAAUUCCGUGCUGCUUCUUACCCGAAACUUAAGUUGGAAGAAAUCAAAGAGGAAUUGUGUCAAUUUUAUAUUCAUCAGCUAUUCAUGUAGUAGGAUUUGUGUCGAUUUGAAGAGAAUAUUAUAGUACUCCAGAAUAUAUGGUUACUAACUUUGUUCAUAUUGUUGCCAAUUAAUAUUUGAAGUAUAAUAUUGUUGA